rnacentral:rRNA from 1 species
AACGCUAGCUACAGGCUUAACACAUGCAAGUCGAGGGGAAACGAUAGAGAAAGCUUGCUUUUUCUAGGCGUCGACCGGCGCACGGGUGAGUAACGCGUAUCCAACCUGCCCAUCACUUGGGGAUAACCUUGCGAAAGUAAGACUAAUACCCAAUGACGUCUCUAGAAGACAUCUGAAAGAGAUUAAAGAUUUAUCGGUGAUGGAUGGGGAUGCGUCUGAUUAGCUUGUUGGCGGGGUAACGGCCCACCAAGGCGACGAUCAGUAGGGGUUCUGAGAGGAAGGUCCCCCACAUUGGAACUGAGACACGGUCCAAACUCCUACGGGAGGCAGCAGUGAGGAAUAUUGGUCAAUGGGCGAGAGCCUGAACCAGCCAAGUAGCGUGCAGGAUGACGGCCCUAUGGGUUGUAAACUGCUUUUAUAAGGGAAUAAAGUGAGAGUCGUGACUCUUUUUGCAUGUACCUUAUGAAUAAGGACCGGCUAAUUCCGUGCCAGCAGCCGCGGUAAUACGGAAGGUCCGGGCGUUAUCCGGAUUUAUUGGGUUUAAAGGGAGCGUAGGCCGGAGAUUAAGCGUGUUGUGAAAUGUAGACGCUCAACGUCUGCACUGCAGCGCGAACUGGUUUCCUUGAGUACGCACAAAGUGGGCGGAAUUCGUGGUGUAGCGGUGAAAUGCUUAGAUAUCACGAAGAACUCCGAUUG